UACGUAGGGCGCAAGCGUUGUCCGGAAUUAUUGGGCGUAAAGAGCUCGUAGGUGGCUUGUCACGUCGGGUGUGAAAGCUUGGGGACUUAACUCCAGGUCUGCAUUCGAUACGGGCUGGCUAGAGGUAGGUAGGGGAGAACGGAAUUCCUGGUGUAGCGGUGAAAUGCGCAGAUAUCAGGAGGAACACCGGUGGCGAAGGCGGCUCUCUGGACCGAGACUGACGCUGAGGCGCGAAAGCGUGGGGAGCAAACAGG
rnacentral:rRNA from 1 species